AUCCAUCUGACAAGUCUCGAAUAGGAUGAAACGAGUGUCAUGGAU
rfam:Schistosoma margrebowiei strain Zambia genome assembly, scaffold: SMRZ_contig0003070